AUACGUAGGUGACAAGCGUUAUCCGGAUUUACUGGGCGUAAAGGGCGUGUAGGCGGUCUUGCAAGUCAGAAGUGAAAUUCCUGAGCUCAACUCGGGCGCUGCUUCUGAAACUGCAGGACUUGAGUGCUGGAGGGGAUAGCGGAAUUCCUAGUGGAGCGGUAAAAUGCGCAGAAAUUAGGAAGAACACCGGUGGCGAAGGCGGCUAUCUGGACAGUAACUGACGCUGAGGCGCGAAAGCGUGGGGAGCAAACAGGAUUAGAUACCCUGGUAGUCCACGCCGUAACGAUGAAUACUAGGUGUAGGGGGUAUCGACUCCCUCUGUGCCGCAGUUAACACAAUAAGUAUUCCGCCUGGGGAGUACGGCCGCAAGGUUGAAACUCAAAUGAAUUGACGGGG
rnacentral:rRNA from 1 species